AGAGUUUGAUCAUGGCUCAGAACGAACGCUGGCGGCGUGCCUAAGACAUGCAAGUCGUGCGGAAAGGCUCCUUCGGGAGCACUCGAGCGGCGCACGGGUGAGUAACACGUGGGUAAUCUACCUGAGGGUCUGGGACAACCCCGGGAAACUGGGGCUAAUACCGGAUGAGACCACGGCGUCCUCGGACGCAGCGGUCAAAGAUGGCCUCUCCUUGGAAGCUAUCGCCCGCAGAUGAGCCCGCGUCCCAUUAGCUAGUUGGCGGGGUAACGGCCCACCAAGGCGACGAUGGGUAGCUGGUCUGAGAGGAUGAUCAGCCACACUGGAACUGAGACACGGUCCAGACUCCUACGGGAGGCAGCAGUCGGGAAUUUUGGGCAAUGGGCGAAAGCCUGACCCAGCAACGCCGCGUGAGGGAUGAAGGCCUUCGGGUCGUAAACCUCUGUCGGGAGGGAAGAAAGGCUCGCGGGUGAACAAUCCGCGGACUUGACGGUACCUCCAAAGGAAGCGCCGGCUAACUCCGUGCCAGCAGCCGCGGUAAUACGGAGGGCGCAAGCGUUGUUCGGAAUUACUGGGCGUAAAGCGCGUGUAGGCGGCCAGGUAAGUCGGAUGUGAAAUCCCGGGGCCCAACCCCGGAACUGCACCCGAUACUGCCUGGCUGGAGUCCCGGAGAGGAUGGCGGAAUUUCCGGUGUAGAGGUGAAAUU
rnacentral:rRNA from 1 species